rnacentral:rRNA from 1 species
AGCGUUGCUACACUGCAGUCGACGCCGCACAGAGUAGCUUGCUCCUUGGGUGGGGAGUGGCGGAUGGAGAAGAAGACAUCGGAAUCUACUCUGUGGUGGGGGAUGAGGAAGGAAAACUUACGCUAAUACCGCGUACGACCUACGGGUGAAAGCAGGGGAUCUUCGGACCUUGCUGGAUUGAAUGUGCCGAUGCCGGAUUAGCUUGUUGGCGGGGUAAAGGCCCUGCAUGGCCACCAUCCGUUUGUGGUCUGAUAGGAUGAUCAUUCACACUGGAACUGAGACAUGGUCCAGACUCCUACGGGAGGCAGCAGUGGUCAAUAUUGGACAAUGGGCGCAAGCCUGAUCCAGCCAUACCGCGUGGGUGAAGAAGGCCUUCGGGUUGUAAAGCCCUUUUGUUGGGAAAGAAAUCCAUCUGGUUAAUAUCUGAUUGGGAUGACGGUACCCAAAGAUGAAGCACCGGCUAACUUCGUGCCAACAGCCGCGGUAAUUCUAAGGGUG